rnacentral:lncRNA from 1 species
GUUUAAACAAAUUAAUUUUUCUUUUACGUAAUUAAAAACUACGUAAAUUGAGUAGUUGCAAAUUAUGUUAAAAAGUCACAAGAAAGUAUCUUGAAUUGUAGAAAAUUAACUUUUUAAAGCUGCCCAGUUGAUAUUUAACUUCUUUUAAUUACUUAUCUUUCUUACAUUUUAACUUCCUUUAAUUACUUUUUUCUUUACUAAUUCUUGAUAAGUGGUGGUAAGCAGCCCUGGCAUAAGAAAAAUAAUUUUAGGAUAUAAUUAGUUCAUUAAAAGGGAUGUAUCAACCAUCUUGGUGUCAGACUAUUUUCAUGCUGUCCUCCCAUAAUUGGCAGAUGUUCUUUUGGUAGGUGAUACUUAUAUGUACCUCUAAGUUAUGUGUAUAUGUUUAUAUGUAGACAGUAUGCUUGUGUACAUACAUCACAAACACCCAAUGAUUUUUGCAGAGAUAGUUAUAAGAUAAAAAAUUAGUUGAUCAUAUUCUAUUCAAUUGCAGAAGACUAAAUUUGAAUCCUUCUGGAGUACUCUUUGUUGUUGAGACAGGAUCUCUGUAGCCUGUGCUAACCUCAAACUCUUGGCAAUUCUUUGCCUUCUGAGUGCUGCAGGCACAAGUGGAAGCCAGCACCAGUUUUCUAGAAUAGUCGUUUCAUCUGAAAGUACUGAUGUGGUUGUGAGGCUCUGUGCACCGGUGUGACAGCAGUGUUAAGGGUCAGAAAGCAGGCUGCUCAGAUCACAAGAGCCGGCUGUGACCAUCUCAGUUGGAAAGAACUUGAAGGUGUGUUUUGUGGAUCAACAGAAAAUCACUUGGUUUUCGUGUGCAUUUUGUCAUGAACUUGAAAUCUUUUCCAACUUUUCUUCAUGUAUGUGACAAGGUGGCCUCAAUUCCUCCUUUUCUACUGUGCCAUCCCCACUGACUUCACUAACAGAGGAAUUGGAUUUUCCGUAGCUGUCUCGUAGAUGGUUGGGAUCCAGGUGUUUACUCCAUUUGAAUCAGGUUAAAAGAUGUAACUGCUCAGGGAGAAUGUGAGCUUGUCACUGCUGCCUGUUUGGGGUAUGUGCAAAGUGCUGUCUCUUAAAUGCCAUUCAGUUGAUGACUCUGGACAAAAAUUCUUCCAGAAGCUUCACACAUGGCUGUGGUUGUGUUUUUGAACAUUCACUCUACUUAGAAGGAUGGCAGUGCUUUGUGAACUGAUAGUCUCCUGGUGAAUAUGAAUUAUGUAUCUGCUGUUAGACUCCCACUUUGAAACUCAGGAAAGACAAAGGUUGUUUUUCUACUUUUGUCCAUAUUUGAUGUGGUACCAAGUGAUAACAUAAUGUCUAGAGGUUUCCUGUGGACUGCCUUGAUUCAUAGUCAAUCCAAAACACUACUAGUUAGCAUGAUUUGGACUUGCUAGACUUAAGUACACAUAGCUGAGUAUGGCGGCAAUGCCUGUAAUUCCAGCCCUUGGGAAGUAGGGGCUGGAGGUUCAGGAGAGUUCAACGGCAGCCAUGGCUAUACAGUCAGUUUGAGGCCAGACUUCACAUAAAAUCUCAUGUCAGAAAUAAUAAUGGAAUUGUUUGGCAUUGUAUAGGAAGCUAGAAUUAUAUCACUUUACCCAUUAUUAUGUUAAAUAAAUAAACAAUUCACUAUACCACAUAACCAUAAUGAAGCAGUUUGGCUGACCUGUAAGGUAAUAGAUUUGACUCACUAAAUAUACAACAUCUAAUGCCAGGCAUCAGACACCACUCCCAAGAGUGUAAACUGAUAAUACCAGAGAUAUUUUCAAAAUAUUUUAGACAUUUUCAAGUAUUGUAUUUAUAAGGAGGUGGGAGAGAUGGCCCAACAGUUAGGAGCACUAGCUCUUCUGCUCUUGCAAAGGAUCUGGGGCGGGUUCCAGGCACCCUCAUUGGUGGCUCACAAGCAUCUGUGCCUCCACAGGCACCAGGCACACAUGUGUUGCACACACAUUAUGUGCAAACAUCAUAGUACAAGCAAAACACUCAUACACAUCAAAAUAAAUGAAUAUCAUUAAAAUAUUGUAUGUGAACCUUUUUACAUUUGUGUGAUUACCUUAAAUAUUAAGCUUACAUAGUGCCAAAGGUGAUCCUAAAUUUUUAAAAAGUGAAGUCGUAACUUCCUAUAUGGUUCCAAAGAAGUUUUUUAAUGUUUGUGCCUUGAAUCCCCAGUGCCAUUUCAGUCUGUUAAAACGAAGCAUACAUAAACUGCAGAUUUGCUCCCAGGGCAGUUAAUGCAUUUCUUAUUUUAAGUUUUCUUUUUGAAACUGGGUUUUUAUCUCUUGAAUCAGGGUCAUAUAUAACUCAGACUGGCCUAGAACUCUUUUUGUUUUGCUGAAGAUGGUCUUGAACUCCAGUUGUUCUUUCUGUAUCUCCCAAGGGCUCGGAUGAUAGCAUGUGACUAUCUGCCACACCUGACUGUUUGGGUUCUUGUCUGUGAGUUGGUUGUUUGGUUGAUUUAAUGUAGCCCUGGCUAACCUGGAACUCUGUACAUGGCCAGUCUGGCCAUGAGCAUGGCAAUCCUUCUGCCUCUGCCCUUAAAUGCCAGGAUUAUAGAUUAUAGUCCACCACACCCAGCUGCCCUGAAAUGCUUUUGUGAGUCCCAACUGUGUAGUUGCUUGGCAGAAAGAGACUGUUAAAGGAAGUUGGUUUACAUUUUUAACUCUUGGUACCUAGGUGCUUUUAAAAUUCUCAGAUAAACAACCAUUUGGCUCUCAUAAAGGUCUUUGAAAUAUCUAAUAGUGAAGAAACUGUAAUUAUUCCUGUUACGUCCUUAUAGUAGUAAUUAGUUCUGCUCUAGGCUUUUUUCUUUGAACUUUCUUGAGAAAGCACUUUUGUCUUUAUCACCCCCCUCCUGCAGUGUGUGACUUUCAGAGCUAGCUGAGGUAAGGCUUUCAGAACUGAACAGCUGUAAUGUGCUUUACUGUAACUGCUUCACGCCUAUUGCUUUCAGUUUGAAUCUUCACAAUGAAAAAAAAAAAAAAAGAAUGUUUUCUAUGUCCUUGUUCUCAGUUGAGUUGCAGUACAUUAAUGCUCAUGUUUUUAUUUAAUGGCACUUCUUCCAUAGUUUAAAUUUUUAAGAAAGUUGUAUCUAAUGUCUUUUAAAUGUUACUUGACUAUAUGGUUGCAUUAAAUUUUGUUUACCAAAAAUCUGAUGAGUUUGUUUUGUUUUAAUGUAUCCAAGUGAUUGUGUAAAAAGGGACAAGGGGAAAAUCAGACGUUUAUAUUUACCAGAAUAACCAAUAACGCAGCUCAUAAACAAGAAAUGAAAACAGUGAUUUGAGGAAAGGAAAGGGUGGCCAACAGGAAUUCUAAAGUUGUGUGUCGAGCAUGGUCCCUGGUGUGAGGAGCUGUUCAUAUGAAGCAUAGCUGGGGUUUAAUAAAGAUUUGUUAAUACAGUUUACCUAUGAGGUUUAAGAGAAAGUACACAGACCCACCCAAGGGCAUGGGUGUUGGCUUAACAAUCAGCCUAAUACCCUGGAGGGCAGGAAGUGUAUUGGAUCUCCUGGGACUUGAGUUACAGCUAUGAGCAGCCAUGUGCCUGCAGGAACCCAACCCCCAACCCUUGAGUGGUGGAAGUUUUCAGAAAUGAAGGCUUCUAGCCUGUUCCUGUAUUCCUUUGCUUUGCCAUCUGAAGCCAUGAAGCUUGUUCAUGUGGGAGGGUUCCUUAUACUGGUGUACCCAUUUGUACUAAAGGAAAUAUUGUGAACUGUUCACAAUGCUGGUUCCUUGUCAAAAUUAAAUAGUAUACCCCAGUUUUAUGAGUUGUG